rnacentral:rRNA from 1 species
UACUCGAGUGGCUAACGGGUGAGUAACACGUGGGUGAUCUGCCUUGCACUUCGGGAUAAGCCUGGGAAACUGGGUCUAAUACCGGAUAGGACCAUGCUUUAGUGUGUGUGGUGGAAAGUUUUUCGGUGCAAGAUGAGCCCGCGGCCUAUCAGCUUGUUGGUGGGGUAAUGGCCUACCAAGGCGACGACGGGUAGCCGGCCUGAGAGGGUGUACGGCCACAUUGGGACUGAGACACGGCCCAG